CUUACUCGGGAGUGUGAGUUCUCACGGUGGCCACCUCGGAGCAACAGGUUCACGCUUUGAGUGUCUUCAAAUUUACUCGCAUUGCUCUGUGUCUCUCCUUACUGUUCUUCACUUCUUCCAUUUUGAUCUAGAAGGAGAGGCCGUCACAUCCUUAAUUCUUCAUGUUCAGUAGCCAUCUUUCAGUGAGUAGAUGGAGCUUCGGGUAAAUGAAAAGCAGCAAAAACAUCAAAGCUCAGAAGAGAAAUUGUUGAAUUAUCAGGUUGGCGUAGUUGUUUGAAGCGGAGCAUGAUGUUGUCAAGGCUCUUGGGGGAAGUGGGAUUCAGGUCAUGGUGGGAAUCCCUAAUGAAAUAUUGUCUUGGGAUCUUUCCCUUUUGUUGCUGAUUUGUGGGUUCUCCAGAAUGUUUCGUCGUUUAUUUGAAUGUGGUGUGGAUAUCAGCUGCUUUAUCCUAGAAUCAUCCACAGCUCUACAUCUACUAAGACCAAUGGUGAGAUGUAGUUGGCAACUAAUUGCCUCAUUGGGCCUUUGAUAAGAAGAGAAAGAUGAACUUCUAUUUUUUAGAGCAGGAGACUUAGCAGAAAUCAGGUUCCCAUGAAAGAUCAAGGGAGAGAUCAAAAUAUUACAGAAUCUUUGUGAGGGCCUAAUAUUGUAUAGUUGCCUGAUAUUGUUAGAGACCAACAAUCGAAGGCUCCAAGCCUAAUUUUUGAACAUGUCAACAACACUGAUGUCUCUCUUGGAUUCUGCCAUGUGCUUCCUCAAUUUUCCUAUAAGGAGUAUCGAUAUUUUUUCUUGAGUACAUGGUUGUUGAUUAUUGCAUUUGAUAAUUAUUCCUUCAGUGUGGAAAUUAUCUGUAUAACUACCAUCUAUAUCUGUCAUGACAGUGUCUAUAGCUGUUUUUUGUGCUCGGAGCAGAUGCAGGACUUGAGAACUUGCUCUCUCUUUUGAUGUUAUUUCCAUGAACUGUGAAUUUUUUUUCCAACUGUAUAAAUAUUUGCUGAAUUUGUCCUAAGAAUAAAGUUAUUUUCAUGUCAUAUGGCAAAGGAAAAAAAAAGCUAUUUCUUUAGUUUCCCUCCAAAAUUAAUCUUUUGUGAACCAAUGAUUUUCUUUUGAACACUUGAUUUGGUUGAACUUCCAAUGGUUCCAUCAUAGAUGGCUUGAAGAAUAUCUCCUUCCCUAAAAAGCAGAUUUUCCAAAAUGAACUUUAUUUAGUAUCUUUAGCGCCUCAUCGUUUAAUUUAAUUUCUUGAGUUUUUAUUGAGUCAAUGUUGUGCUGCUUAUCAGCAUUUAGAAAAAUCAACAUGUAUUUCAAAAAUUAUGUUUUGCUAGCAUACUUGGUUGUGAUCUCCAAGCCACAUGAACUCACUAGAUGACAUGUAAAAAUAGGGCAUUCUUAAUUGAAGGCUUAUUUUUUGAAAUUAAAUAGAUUAUAAUGAAUGUUGCUCUUAUGGCUUCUUGAGUGGUAAUGGUAUUUGUACUCUUACGACAAAUCAAAGAAACACUUUGAUAAAUUUCGUAUGCAUAUUGCUAUUUGAUAGGGGCCCAGCACUCUAAAUCUUUGAUUAGGUUGGACCCUUUAACCAUCAAUUUUAAUUUGAAGUUAUUUGCUGUCACUUAUCUUUUGUACCUGUAUACAAAUUUGGAAGAGGUUGAGGACUUUUCAUAUAUUAAUGCCUGGACAUGAUUGCCACUUUUCUAUGUGGUUUAAAUUUAUUUUAGAUUUCCUUACUCUUAAUGUUUUGAUCUUUGCAAGAUUACAUUUUCCUAUUUAUUUGGGGACAUUUAUAAUUAUAAGCAGCUUCAUUUUUUUAAGUGAAAUAAGCAUUUUCAUUUAUUUAUGUAGCUUUGACUCUAAGGAGGUAAUAAAUAAAUUUAUGUUAUAGUAAGUUUAAAGCAUAUAUAUCAUCAAGUUAAUUAUUUUCACAAUAUAUUUCGCAAUAAAAUAUGUUGAAGUUGCAAAAUUUCAGUGCAAUUUUUAAAGUUUUUAAAAUUUAUAAUUGCCAAUUAAUUUGAAACAUGUAUAUAUUGAGCAAAUUAAAUGUAUUUUUUCAUGUUUUAUUUUCUUUGGCGUUAGGAUGUUACAUGUAUUUUAAAUUACUUAUCAUGAAAGCCCAGCAGAUGGCAUAAUCUUAGACAUUGUCGAAACAAUUCUCAUCUCAUGACUCACCUUUUCUUGAAAGACUUUUAAACGCAGAAAUUAAAAUCUCAGCUUCCGUGUGAUUGGGCCAACAUGAUAAUUCAUGUUGGAUACUACGCUCAUUUUCUUGAAGCAAAACACUUGUAAUCAAUUUAGCUAUUACAUGUUUUUGUGUAAAUGACUUUAACUGAAUUUGUGCAAUGUUGUUUGUGAAUAUCUAUAAAAAGUUAUUUGCUUGGGAGAUUUUGUAUUGUUGGUAUAAUUCAAUCCGUUAGAGUGGAAUGGCAUUUUCAAUCAAAGAAGGGCAUUAAAAAAGCACAGAAACAUGAAUUUAUAGAUGCAGCUAGAGCCAGUACAUCAACCAUCACUCCCACUGAUAUCUGGAAGAAGCCAUGGAAGAGACGCCCCUUGCCCAUAAUCAAACACUUUGUGUGGCGGAUAUUAUCAAAUGCUGUGGCAACCAAUGCAGCUCUUGUCCAGAGGUGGAGUUGGAAUGUUGAGUUACGCCCCAUCUACAAAGCUGAUCCUGAAACUGUAGAACAUAUGCUUUUUUUUGUGCCCUGGAUGAGAUCUGGUCUGGGAGAGGAGGACAAUGGCUCUAUGCAUCUUGAAUGUGUUUAGCGUUUUCCACCAAAUGGCUAUUUGAAAAUUAAUUAUGAUGGGGCUUUCCACCACAAAAAAAGUAUUGCAGCAAUUGGAAUUGUCUGUAGGAACCAUACUAGUGAGUUCCAAUGGGUAUUUGUGGAGAAAAUUAAGUCCCAAUCAGCAUUUAUGAUAGAAGCUAUGUCCCUGAAAAAGGCUUUGAUGCUUGCCAUAGAUUUAGGAAGAGAUAAGGUUGUGUUUGAGAUUGAUUGCUCCACUCUUGUUUCUUGUAUUCAAGAUCGAAGACCAGAAUUAUGUGAAUGGUUUAGUAGAGAUGUGGUCUUAGAUAUCAUAGAUUUGAUGAUGCCCAAUGCUAGUUUUUCCAUCUCUUUCACCAGGCGUGAAGGUAACAAAGUAGCUGAUUUGUUGGUCAUUGGUGGUUGUAAGGAUGUGUAUGGGUGUCAACACGUCCACUUCCUUUGCUUAAUUUGAUAGCUGUAGAUGCCAUGAGAGCUGGGUCGUCUGCAGAGGAGCAUCUGCAUUCAGAUGAUAGAAUGGGUAUUGGCUGAUCCUGAUGCUGCACUUUAAUUUCGUUGUUUGCUUUUUUUUUUUUUUCGGGCUUUGUUGUUUGUCAUUCAUUUUCGUUUGGUUAUUUGCUUUUGGACUUUCAUUGUUGCUUUGACUUUUUUGUGGAGAAUGAAGUGUUCAGUUGAUACAAAGAAUUAAAAAAAAAAAUCUUUUUCCAAA